GGGUGCAGUGUCUCCACGGCCGGCAGGGGGCGCUCCGGAAGGCCCCACGAGGGCAAUGGCGGAUCCCAGUCAUGGCGGCUGCUCUGACACCCCAGGGCGGGCCCCAGCCUUCGGCCACGGGGCCGGUGGUCGGCAAGGGACAGGAGUACCGGUCCGUCCAGCUACGAGCAGGGAGACACCUCCCCCCCCCAAAAAAGGGAACCCCCCCCUCAAGGCCAGGAUGAACUUAGUCUGGAGACACUGAUGACAAGUGCAAUUAGGAGAGAUUCCCUCAUUCAACACUGUGAAUGAAGAGUGUGAGGACCUUUCCUGUGGUAGUGCCUGGAAAUGAAGACUCAGGCCUUGCUGUCACCUGUUCUGCCCCACCUCACUUCCCUCCCUAUUCAGUCUGAAAACCCUUCUCUCACAGGAAGGCCAAUAAAAAGUUUAGCUCUUUCA